UACGUAGGGAGCAAGCGUUGUCCGGAAUCAUUGGGCGUAAAGAGCGCGUAGGUGGCUUUAUAAGUCCGUUGUGAAAGUCAAAGGCUCAACCUUUGAAAGCCGAUGGAUACUGUGAAGCUAGAGUACGGAAGAGGCGAGUGGAAUUCCUGGUGGUAGCGGUGGAAUGCGCAGAUAUCAGGAGGAACACCAAUAGCGAAGGCAGCUCGCUGGGACGUUACUGACACUGAGGCGCGAAAGCGUGGGGAGCGAACAG
rnacentral:rRNA from 1 species